rnacentral:tRNA from 1 species
GUCAGUGUGGUGUAGUGGUUUGAGUGUUGGACUUUGACUUGGGAGACCAGGGUUCAAUUCCUGCUCGGCCA